rnacentral:rRNA from 1 species
GACAGAGGGUGCAAACGUUGUUCGGAAUUACUGGGCGUAAAGCGCGUGUAGGCGGCCCUGCAAGUCGGGUGUGAAAUCCCAUGGCUCAACCAUGGAAGUGCACUCGAAACUGCAGGGCUAGAGUCCUGGAGAGGAAGGUGGAAUGCUUGGUGUAGAGGUGAAAUUCGUAGAUAUCAAGAGGAACACCUGCGGCGAAGGCGGGUUGCUGGGCCGACACUGACGCUGAGGCGCGAAAGCCAGGGGAGCGAACGGG